rnacentral:rRNA from 1 species
UACGGGGGGGGGCAAGCGUUGUUCGGAAUUACUGGGCGUAAAGGGCUCGUAGGUGGCCAACUAAGUCAGACGUGAAAUCCCUCAGCUUAACUGGGGAACUGCGUCUGAUACUGGAUGGCUUGAGUUUGGGAGAGGGACGCGGAAUUCCAGGUGUAGCGGUGAAAUGCGUAGAUAUCUGGAGGAACACCGGUGGCGAAGGCGGCGUCCUGGACCAACACUGACACUGAUGAGCGAAAAGCCAGGGGAGCAAACGGGG